rnacentral:rRNA from 1 species
AUUGAACGCUGGCGGCAGGCCUAACACAUGCAAGUCGAACGGUAACAGGAAACAGCUUGCUGUUUCGCUGACGAGUGGCGGACGGGUGAGUAAUGUCUGGGAAACUGCCUGAUGGAGGGGGAUAACUACUGGAAACGGUAGCUAAUUCCGCAUAACGUCGCAAGACCAAAGAGGGGGACCUUCGGGCCUCUUGCCAUCGGAUGUGCCCAGAUGGGAUUAGCUAGUAGGUGGGGUAACGGCUCACCUAGGCGACGAUCCCUAGCUGGUCUGAGAGGAUGACCAGCCACACUGGAACUGAGACACGGUCCAGACUCCUACGGGAGGCAGCAGUGGGGAAUAUUGCACAAUGGGCGCAAGCCUGAUGCAGCCAUGCCGCGUGUAUGAAGAAGGCCUUCGGGUUGUAAAGUACUUUCAGCGGGGAGGAAGGGAGUAAAGUUAAUACCUUUACUCAUUGACGUUACCCGCAGAAGAAGCACCGGCUAACUCCGUG